rnacentral:rRNA from 1 species
GUGAGGAAUUUUCCGCAAUGGGCGAAAGCCUGACGGAGCAAUGCCGCGUGAAGGAUGAAGGCCUAUGGGUUGUAAACUUCUUUUCUCAGAAAAGAAUUAUGACGGUAUCUGAGGAAUAAGCAUCGGCUAACUCUGUGCCAGCAGCCGCGGUAAGACAGAGGAUGCAAGCAUUAUCCGGAAUGAUUGGGCGUAAAGCGUCUGUAGGUUGUUUAAAAAGUAUUCUGUCAAAGAUUAGGGCUUAACCCUAGAUAGGCAGAAUAAACUUUUAAGCUAGAGUUUGGUAGAGGCAGAGGGAAUUCCCGGUGGAGCGGUGAAAUGCGUAGAUAUCGGGAGGAACACCAAAGGCGAAGGCACUCUGCUGGGCCAAUACUAACACUGAGAGACGAAAGCGAGGGGAGCAAAUGGGAUUAGAAACCCUAGUAGUCC